GUUGCUGGCGCAUGCUAUACAUGCAGUCGAGCGAACCGUGAAGUGCUUGCACUUCGGCGGUUAGCGGCGGACGGGUGAAUAACACGUAGGCAACCUGCCUGUACGACUGGGAUAACUUCGGGAAACCGAAGCUAAUACCGGAUAGGUUAACGAACCGCAUGGUUCGUUAAAGAAAGACCUUGCGUCACGUACAGAUGGGCCUGCGGCGCAUUAGCUAGUUGGUAGGGUAACGGCCUACCAAGGCGACGAUGCGUAGCCGACCUGAGAGGGUGAUCGGCCACACUGGGACUGAGACACGGCCCAGACUCCUACGGGAGGCAGCAGUAGGGAAUCUUCCGCAAUGGACGAAAGUCUGACGGAGCAACGCCGCGUGAACGAUGAAGGUUUUCGGAUCAUAAAGUUCUGUGGUUAGGGAAAAACCGGCCGGGAUACCCUCCCGGUCUGACGGUACCUUUGGGGGAGGGGGCGCGCCUACUUCG
rnacentral:rRNA from 1 species